UUUAAGGUCUAAUCUGCCCAAUGAGGAAUUAAAUGGCCGCGGUAUUUUGACCGUGCAAAGGUAGCAUAAUAAUUAGUUUUUUAAUUGAAAGCUGGAAUGAAUGAUUGGACGAGAAAAUAGCUGUCUCAAAUUAAGUUAAUUAGAAUUUUAUUUUUAAGUAAAAAAGCUUAAAUUUUUUUAAAAGACGAGAAGACCCUAUAGAGUUUUAUAAUUUUAUUUAUAGAUAAAUUUUAUAGAAUUAUAAUUUUAUUAUAUAUAGAAUUAUUUUGUUGGGGUGAUAGAAAAAUUAAAUUAACUUUUUUUAUAUUUUAACAUUAAUUUAUGGUUUAAUGAUCCAUUAUUUAUGAUUAUAAGAUUAAAUUACCUUAGGGAUAACAGCGUAAUUUUUUUUUAGAGUUCUUAUCGAAAAAAAAGAUUGCGACCUCGAUGUUGGAUUAAAAUAUACAUUUGGUGUAGGGGCUAAAUGGUUAGGUCUGUUCGACCUUUAAAAUUUUACA
rnacentral:rRNA from 1 species